GACGAAGGUGGCAAGCGUUGUUCGGAAUCACGGGGCAUAAAGCGCACGUAGGCGGCUAAGUAAGUCGGAUGUGAAAUACCUCGGCUCAACCGAGGAACUGCGUCCGAUACUGCUUGGCUUGAGGUCCGGAGGGGAGAGUGGAAUUCCCGGUGGAGCGGUGAAAUGCGUAGAGAUCGGGAAGAACGCCGGCGGCGAAAGCGACUCUCUGGUCGGAAUCUGACGCUGAGGUGCGAAAGCUAGGGGAGCAAACGGG
rnacentral:rRNA from 1 species